ensembl:lncRNA
CAAAGAACACAUGAUUUAUUAAAGACAACUUGUCAUCAACAGCACUGAUUCAAAGAACAAAACAAAUGAAAAAACAAAAGCAGACUAACAUUCUAACCCUUGGAGUGAGACCAGCUGAACUCAAACAGCCAUUCUGUAAGUAUCCAAAGUCCUGGGGGCAGCUUCCCGAGCAGGAAGCCCGGGGGUCUCUGGCUCUCUGGGGACCUCCCUUGAGUCUAGGGAGGGGGAAUUGCCAAGGGCAGUUUUUUCCCUUGGGCAGUAUCCCACUGGGGAGCUCAGCCUAAACUGGACAUGGUCCCUGUGCUCUUCUGACCUUCAUCACAAGAUCAAAGACAGGGCAGGGGACCCAGGUCCUGCCGCUUAGACAAAUUAGAUGCAGUGAUUCAAGUAGUAGGGCCCUGGGAGGGAAGGCAGAGGGACGGGCAAGAGGGAAUGCAUCAGGUGUCCUGGGCAGUGUCUGCUGGGCCCCAGGCUGUGAAGGGAUCAAGUUGGGGCUGAACCACCAGCAACAAGUUCUGGGAAAAGGGUGAGCCAGGCUGCUGGGCAGCCGUGUCUCUGCCCCGAGCCGGGGUCUUGGGCUCUGGCAAGGAUCCCAGCUGUUGUCUCCCUCACACCUAGUCCUCUCACAGAGUCCUCCCAGCCAGGACCUCCUGGAAAAUCAGGAAGGUCCCAGAGGCGGGAAGAGUGGAUGCUGACUCUGACUUGGUGAGGUCUGAGGUCUGACCCCAACUUGUUUCUACCCUUCCAGCCCCACCCUUCAUCAAAUCGAGCACUUGCCAAUCGCAAUAAAUAACUAGGAAUCUGAAUAAAUAGCAAAAAUCUCUCAAAUACGUUGUUGGAAGAGGAGAAGGCAUAAAGGCAAGUGCAUGAAUCCUACAAGCAUCCAAGAGACAGCUUGGACAAGAGCUGCCUGGGGGAAGCUGUUCCUGGCCACCAUCCACAAAUCCUGGCCAUGACUCAGGAAGGCAUGGAGGCGGGGGGUGCUGGGGGCCCCUGCUGGCCAGUCUGAGAUGAAGAGGCCCCAUGCUACAUGACCCAGCCUUCCAGGCACAAACCACCUGCCUCCUUAAACGAGGGUACUAGGUCGGAACAAGCCAACCCUUCCCACAGCCCAGCAGUGGGAACUGCCAGCUGCUCCUAUCCAGGACACACCUGCCCCAGAUCCUGGAGCAGCCCAAGCACGUGACCACAUGAGGGCCAGCACCUCCUUCAGCUCCCCUGCCUGGGGGAGACGUGGCUCUCCCGGCCCUGAUGGCACCCAGCCAUCGAGCUCAGCUCCGCCUGGCCCAGAGAGGCUCCCUCUGGUCCCACUUGCCCUGUACAGGGCUCACUUGCCCUGGGCCCAGACCCAAUAGCCAUAGGAAUGAAUACCUUUGCCUCAGAAGCACCUGGAUCCCAAGCCCCAGCACAGGAUCGCAUUAAUGUCCUUUUCCUUUGGGAGAGAUGGGCCUUUGGGGGAACCUCUGGGAGACUCAGCUAGCUCCACCCCGCCUCACCGGGCAGCUUCACUGGCCAAUUCUCAGAGCUUUGGGUUUCCAAGAAUUUUGUGGUGGGGAGGCACUGGGAGUGGAGAGCUGGG